ACCAGGUUACUCUUAACAGUGAGUUGGCUCAAACAGUAACUCGGUUGUUAUUAUAGGCUAUGCUUGGUUAAGUAUUUAAUGUAAAAAUGGCUACAGUGAAAAACGUCCAUAAGAGGAUGGCUACCACUAGCCUAAGAUUUUGAAUCUGCGUAGGCUGUUAUUAGGCCUAGGCCGGCCUACGGAUUGAGCGGGAAAGACCGAGGCACCAAUAUCGCGCACUAACACGAAGAGGAUCCAGUCCGGACCAGCCGACUGUGCGAUGAAGUAUUUAGAGUCCGGGGAAAAACUCAUGGACACAAACUCAACGUCGGCCAGGUCGCCACCCGUAAGCACUUUUCUCUUACGGCACUGUUCAUGCUGCAGGUCGUAGACGGUGAUUACUGGCCGCUCCCCGCGUUCUGACACGGCCAGGUAGCGCUUGUUUGGGCUGAUGGCCAGUGCAUACAUGCCAUGGCUUUUCUCCAGACCUGCAAAGGAAGACAUGAUGGAGCGUUCAUGUGUCACUAAUAAAGGUCUGUCCAUUUGUUCUGGG